UGAGUCACUUCUAGUUGGGGAUAAGUAGUUCUUCAACACACAACAAAAAAACAGCAAAGAAGAAAACGAAACACAAAAAAUCUAAAACCAAAAUGGGUGAAUGCAUCUCAAAAGACGAGGCUGAAAAU
rnacentral:ribozyme from 1 species